rnacentral:rRNA from 1 species
CACGCCAGACUGCGGACGGCUCAUUAUAACAGUUAUAGUUUAUUUGAUGGUUCUUUUACGUGGAUAACCGUGGUAAUUCUAGAGCUAAUACAUGCCAAAAUCCCCGAGCCUCCGGGCGAGGGGAGCAUUUAUUAGAUGCCGAACCCAAUGGCCUCCGGGCCUAAUUGAGGACUCAUAAUAACUCAAGCAGAUCGUUCGAACGAACGGCGUAUCAUUCAAGUUUCUGACCUAUCAGUUAGUCGGUAGUGUAUUGGACUACUGAGGCUCUGACGGGUAACGGAGAAUUAGGGUUCGAUUCCGGAGAGGGAGCCUGAGAAACGGCUACCACAUCUAAGGAAGGCAGCAGGCGCGUAACUUACCCAAUCCUGACUCAGGGAGGUAGUGACAAGAAAUCACAAUAUUUCGCUCAAUUGAGCAAAGUAAUUGGAUUGAGAACAGGCUAAACAUGUUAACGAUAAACCAUUGGAGGGCAAGUCUGGUGCCAGCAGCCGCGGUAAUUCCAGCUCCAAUAGCGUAUACUAACGUUGUUGCAGUUAAAAAGCUCGUAGUUGGAUUUUUAGUUGCGCGGACCGGCCGUGGCCUUUAGUGUCGUGUGCCUGGUUCGUCGUGACUAUUUUGGCCCAGCGUGUCGUUGGCAUUAGUUUGUCGACGGCUCCGCCAGGUCGAGUUUACUUUGAGAAAAUUAGAGUGUUCAAAACAGUCAAUCGAUUGUAUAUCAUAGCAUGGAAUAAUAACUGAUGACCUCGGUCACCUUUUGUUGG